AUGCUACCGGGCGACCGGAUGCGGAUCUCGAAAGCCUGUCCCAGUUCGGACUGGAGUCUGCAACCCGACUCCACGAAGUUGGAUUCGCUAGUAAUCGCGCAUCAGCCAUGGCGCGGUGAAUACGUUCCCGGGCCUUGUACACACCGCCCGUCAAGCCAUGGGAGCCGGGGGGCGCCUGAAGUCCGGGACCGCGAGGACCGGCCUAGGGCGAAACUGGUAACUGGGGCUAAGUCGUAACAAGGUAAC
rnacentral:rRNA from 1 species